GACGAACGCUGGCGGCGUGCUUAACACAUGCAAGUCGAGCGGUAAGGCCCUUUCGGGGGUACACGAGCGGCGAACGGGUGAGUAACACGUGGGUGACCUGCCCUCCAGCUCUGGGAGUAAGACCUGGGAAACCGGGUCGUAAUACCGGAUAUGACUCCAUGACGCAUGUUGUGGGGUGGAAAGCCUUGUGCGGCUGAGGAUGGGCCCGCGGCCUAUCAGCUUGUUGGUGGGGUGAUGGCCUACCAAGGCGACGACGGGUAGCCGGCCUGAGAGGGCGACCGG
rnacentral:rRNA from 1 species